UUUCCGUAGGUGAACCUGCGGAAGGAUCAUUCAUAAUAAGUGUUUUAUGGCACUUUUUUAAAUCCAUAUCCACCUUGUGUGCAAUGUCAGGGUUGAUUUUUCUCUCGAGAGGAUCAACCCCAAACAUCAACUAUAUCUCAACUCUUUGUCCGAAAAAUAUUAUGAAUAAAACAAUUCAAAAUACAACUUUCAACAACGGAUCUCUUGGCUCUC
rnacentral:misc_RNA from 1 species